rnacentral:rRNA from 1 species
GGGUGGCGAGUGGCGAACGGGUGAGUAACAUAUCGGAACGUACCGAGCAGUGGGGGAUAACUAAUCGAAAGAUUAGCUAAUACCGCAUAUUCUCUGAGGAGGAAAGCAGGGGACCUUCGGGCCUUGCGUUAUUCGAGCGGCCGAUAUCUGAUUAGCUAGUUGGUGGGGUAAAGGCCUACCAAGGCGACGAUCAGUAGCGGGUCUGAGAGGAUGGCCAGCCACACCGGGACUGAGACACGGCCCGGACUCC